CAGCAGCCGCGGUAAUACCAGCGUCACGAGUGGCAAUCACGUUUAUUGGGCCUAAAGCGUGCGUAGCCGGUUUAAUAAGUCUUUUGUGAAAUCGUUGUGCUUAACAUAACGCUGUGCAAGAGAUACUGUUCGACUAGGAACUGGGAAGGGUCAGAGGUAUUCUGGGGGGAGCGGUAAAAUGCUAUAAUCCCUGGAGGACCACCAGUGGCGAAGGCGUCUGACUAGAACAGCUUCGACGGUGAGGGACGAAAGCCAGGGGAGCAAAACGGAUUAGAUACCCGAGUAGUCCUGGCUGUAAACGCUGUGAGCAAGGUGUCGCGUAUCCUCCGUGGAUGCGCGGUGUCAAAAUGAAGAUGAUAAGCUCACCGCCUGGGAAGUAUGGUCGCAAGGCUGAAACUUAAAGGAAUUGGCGGGGGAGCACCACAAGGGGUGCGGCGUGCGGUUUAAUCUAAUUCAACACAGAGAAUCUCACCAGAAGCGACGGUAGGAUGAAGGUCAGUCUAAUGGGCUUACCAGACGAGCCGAGAGGUAGUGCAUGGCCGUCGUCAGCUCGUGCUGUAAAGUGUCCUGCUAAGCCAGGCAACGAGCGAGACCUGUAUCUACAAUUGCUAACGACUCUUUUAGGAGAAUCGAGCACAUUGUGGAGACUGCCCUGGAAACGGGGAGGAAGGUGCAGGCUACGGUAGGUCUGUAUGCUCCGAAUCUUCUGGGCUACACGCGCGCAACAAUGGUAAGGACAAUGUGAUGCAACUCUGAAAAGAGAAGCUAAUCCUCGAAACCUUAUCUUAGUUCAGAUUGAGGAUUGUAACUCAUCCUCAUGACGAUGGAAUCCCUAGUAAUCAGACGUUAUCAGCGUCUGGUGAAUAUGUCCCUGCUCCUUGCACACACCGCCCGUCAAACCAUCCGAGCAGGGUUUAGGUGAGGUUUGACUUUUAGUCAAGACGAACCUAAAUUCAGUGAGGCGGGUUAAGUCGUAACAAGGUAGCCGUA
rnacentral:rRNA from 1 species